GACGAACGCUGGCGGCGUGCUUAACACAUGCAAGUCGAACGGAAAGGCCCUGCUUUUGUGGGGUGCUCGAGUGGCGAACGGGUGAGUAACACGUGAGUAACCUGCCCUUGACUUUGGGAUAACUUCAGGAAACUGGGGCUAAUACCGGAUAGGAGCUCCUGCUGCAUGGUGGGGGUUGGAAAGUUUCGGCGGUUGGGGAUGGACUCGCGGCUUAUCAGCUUGUUGGUGGGGUAGUGGCUUACCAAGGCUUUGACGGGUAGCCGGCCUGAGAGGGUGACCGGACAAAUUGGGACUGAGAUACGGCCCAGACUCGUACGGGAGGCAGCAGUGGGGAAUAUUGCACAAUGGGCGGGAGCCUGAUGCAGCAACGCCGCGUGCGGGAUGACGGCCUUCGGGUUGUAAACCGCUUUCGCCUGUGACGAAGCGUGAGUGACGGUAAUGGGUAAAGAAGCACCGGCUAACUACGUG
rnacentral:rRNA from 1 species